UCGCGAUUAACGACAAGUAAACGUACAAGUACUACGAGUAAACGAGGCGACGACCGUUUUUCGCGAUGAGUGAAGUUAGGGUUAGAUUGAGUUAUUUCGCGCGCUUCAUCUUAUUUCAAGUAGGAGUCGUAGAGGAUGGGGACGAUGGGGAAUUAUAGAAUCAUCGUACGAUCAUAGUUUUUGCUUUGUUCCCUCGCAAUAUAAUAACGUGCGUGUCGCGUACAAUUAAUAUCGGGAGUGCCGUGCAAAGUGUCGCGCGAUCGUCGUAUUCUCUCGAUUAGUGCACGAGAUGAUUAUAAUUAAUCGUAUUUCCGGGAGUGUUGUGAGAGUACCAGUGCUACAAAAAAACAGGAAUGAUGAAGGAGAGGAGAGGAGAAAGAAAACCGAGACAUCGGGCGACAGUGGAGUCUCUCCCUCUGAGCAGGAACAUAGGUCAGCACAAUAAUCACAUUGUUUGGCAGAUCGCCCUUUCGAACGAUCUCAACCUGUAACUAUACCCACCUGCUGCCAUAUCUCAUCGAACUGUAACACAAGCUCUCAAUCCCCAGAAGCAAUGAGGCUCCACGAUAAUUGCGAAGUUGACGUUUGUCACAGCCGCAUGAAAGAACACAUGCGAAGACAAGUAUGCGAAUUGAACCGGUUCGACGCAUCUCGCAGCGGAUUGGACGGCUGCGGAAUCAAGCCAAGUUUAAUUCUUAAGCAUUGGUCACGGAACGGGUCCUUAAGUAUCAAGGUCUAAUCGUCGUCAUUUUCGCAAGAGUGGGGAAGGUAGCGCGACGAUUGGAGGCGAGCAUUGCAUAUGCAAAUCUGCUUUGCCCGCUCUCUCG